rnacentral:rRNA from 1 species
AUUGAACGCUGGCGGCAGGCCUAACACAUGCAAGUCGAACGGUAACAGGAAGAAGCUUGCUUCUUUGCUGACGAGUGGCGGACGGGUGAGUAAUGUCUGGGAAACUGCCUGAUGGAGGGGGAUAACUACUGGAAACGGUAGCUAAUACCGCAUAACGUCGCAAGCCCAAAGAGGGGGACCUUCGGGCCUCUUGCCAUCGGAUGUGCCCAGAUGGGAUUAGCUAGUAGGUGGGGUAACGGCUCACCUAGGCGACGAUCCCUAGCUGGUCUGAGAGGAUGACCGGCCACACUGGAACUGAGACACGGUCCAGACUCCUACGGGAGGCAGCAGUGGGGAAUAUUGCACAAUGGGCGCAAGCCUGAUGCAGCCAUGCCGCGUGUAUGAAGAAGGCCUUCGGGUUGUAAAGUACUUUCAGCGGGGAGGAAGGGAGUAAAGUUAAUACCUUUGCUCAUUGACGUUACCCGCAGAAGAAGCACCGGCUAACUCCGUG